rnacentral:misc_RNA from 1 species
AUCAGGAUAAGAGCCUCCAGGCACUUGUCCCUAGCCGGAGCCAGCGUGCUAGCUCCCGGAGAUGACACGUUGGUCCCGGUCAGAUAUAUGCCAGGCUUCAUCCCAACCGU